CAGCGGCGGACGGGUAAGUAAUGCCUAGGAAUCUGCCUGGUAGUGGGGGACAACGUUUCGAAAGGAACGCUAAUACCGCAUACGUCCUACGGGAGAAAGCAGGGGACCUUCGGGCCUUGCGCUAUCAGAUGAGCCUAGGUCGGAUUAGCUAGUUGGUGAGGUAAUGGCUCACCAAGGCGACGAUCCGUAACUGGUCUGAGAGGAUGAUCAGUCACACUGGAACUGAGACACGGUCCAGACUCCUACGAUCGAAUAUUGGACAAUGGGCGAAAGCCUGAUCCAGCCAUGCCGCGUGUGUGAAGAAGGUCUUCGGAUUGUAAAGCACUUUAAGUUGGGAGGAAGGGCAUUAACCUAAUACGUUAGUGUUUUGACGUUACCGACAGAAUAAGCACCGGCUAACUCUGUGCCAGCAGCCGC
rnacentral:rRNA from 1 species